AACUCUUGGCAAUGGAUCUCUUGGUUCUCGCAUCGAUGAAGAGCGUAGCAAAGUGCGAUAAUUAUUGCGACUUGCAUUCAUAGCGAAUCAUCGAGUUCUCGAACGCAUCUUGCGCCUAGUAGUCAAUC
rnacentral:rRNA from 1 species